UCAAUUCUUUUGGUUAGUUUUAUUGUCAUAUAGGAAAUUAAAUUACGUGCAACAUCUAUGGUUGAUCUUCUUUCUUUUUACAAAGUAUUUGUAUUGUUGUAAUUAUUGCAUCUAAGAAGUGGUAGGAGGUUGAAAGAAAAUCCUAUUUUAUUUUAAUCGUCUUAGGUUCACAUUUGUUGGGUGAUGAUUGAUAAAUUCAUAUAACAUUGAAAUUUACUCUUAGACUCAAUUAGAUGAUAAUAGUUGAUGGUGC
rnacentral:lncRNA from 1 species